CAGACGAAGCCGGUGUGGUGCCCUCAAUAGGGACUGUAGGGAAACAGCGCUCGCUGUCUCUUUCAGGUUGAGCCUCGCCUCGCGCCCCCUUGGGCACGUGACGUCGCCGGCGGCCAGGUGAGAAGAGGAGCAGGAGGAGGAGGAAUGAAGGGAGGAGGCCGCGCGCAUGCGUGCACGCGCGUGCGCGAGGCAAUUGGAACACUCUCUCCUCAAUGGUAUGGACAGAAAUGCCCAGGAUGGAGGAGAGAGUGGCCAUGAGGGUGACAGCAAAGCAGAAGCAUGACAAAGUGGCAGGUCCUGAUUCGUGCAGAAUCUGCCCAAAAGAAGUCAUCUGAUCUGCAGAGCCCAUGGCUUGAACAUCAGAAAACAGUUUAAAGGUGUCACACUAUCCUGUCCCUUUCUGUUGCCAAUCUCAUCUCCCCUGGCAUUCAAGUUAUUGAUAACAUGCCAUCUUGUCUUAGAAAUGAAUGUAUAAGAUGUUGCAGAAAUGAUUUGGAUUUAAAAUUGUAGGAUUCCCCUGUUGCCACCUCCCACAAAUAGCUUGGAAAGAGAGCUGUACAGAGUGAAUCCUCUUAGGACUGAACACCUCAGCUUGCAUACAAGGGUUGUGCAUCAGCACCAAUUGGCAUUGAGACUGGACAACAACAGAAGAUCUGGAGCACCUCCUACAUAUACAAAACCAAAUCCAGAACCAAGACAACUGACCAGGCAUUCAAAUUACAGUAUGUGAAAACUGUAUUUUGCAAGAUGGCUAGUUACCAAAUACACUAUUAUUUAGAUCUAUAGCACAACAUUAUUUCAAAAGCCAAAAUGGGAUUGUGAAAAUAUUAAUAUGUCCUGACUAUGGUUCAAAUAAUCAAUAAAUAAAAACAGUUUCAAUAA